GUCAAAGGAGCGUGUUUACUGUUGUUAAUUCACAGUGUUCUAGUCAUUAUUAUGAUAUUGGGUUAAAGUGUGAACCUAUCUGUGAGCAUGGCACUGUAAGGUUACAGGGAGGAACUUUGUCUACUGGUCGUGUGGAAGUAUGUGUUAAUGGUACCUGGGGAACAGUUUGCAGUGAUUUCUGGGACAAUAAUGAUGCUAGUGUCAUAUGUAAUCAGUUAGGAUAUUCACCUUAUGGAGCUAUAGCUGUCUCAGGAUAUUAUUCCACUUCAGUAUGGCCACAUCAUAUUAUCGAUUUAAACUGUACUGGAACU